rnacentral:rRNA from 1 species
UACAGAGGUCUCAAGCGUUGUUCGGAUUCAUUGGGCGUAAAGGGUGCGUAGGUGGCGAUGUAAGUCUGGUGUGAAAUCUCGGGGCUCAACCUCGAAAUGGCAUUGGAUACUGCGUUGCUUGAGGAUUGUAGAGGAGAGUGGAAUUCACGGUGUAGCAGUGAAAUGCGUAGAUAUCGUGAGGAAGACCAGUUGCGAAGGCGACUCUCUGGGCAAUUCCUGACACUGAGGCACGAAGGCCAGGGGAGCAAACGGG